UCAUCACACUAUUUCGCGAAACGCGCUACUGUAGCAUCGGUACCAAAAUUAUAUUUUUUUAUGUUAAUACUUAAUCGUCCUUUUGGUUUUUAAAUUACUAUAAAAAAAAAAAAAAAACGAAAUUACGAAAUUUGAAAUUUAAGCAGCAGCGGUUUUCCCGAUUUGCGACAUAAAUUAUUCAUUUUGAUACGGGCGAUGACGAUAAAUAUGCUGGUUAAGAAUCUUCUUGAUUUUUUCCUUUUAGUCCUCCUCGCCAGCCUCAAUAGCUAACCAACCAACCGGCGAGAUAAGAUUUUUAAACGCGCGUCAAUUGCAAGAUGAAAACAAGAAACAAUGAAUUAAAACAAUUUACAAAAUUGCUAUGUUCGACGAACAAGUGAUUAAAUAAACUAAAAAAGAAAGAUCGUUAUGUUAGACGUACAAUGCGCGUCAUUUAAAAUGAAAUUCACGACAAUUAUAAAAUAUUGCAGCGUUCACAGACGAAUAAUGUCUUUUAAUAAUAACGUCUAAUACCUAAAACGAUAGAAUCUUCUUUCCUAUUCAAUAAAUGCAGUGUUCUAUCAAAUGCGAGAUAUUUAUUUGAUUUUUGUAUUCGAUUGACCUUGAAUUCCAUCAUAUCAUAUAUCAUCAUUUGAUGCAAUAAAACACGAAGAAAUUAAUAUACAAUAUAAUAUAAAAGAUAUAUUAAUAUAACAUAAUAUAAAAAUCUAUUCAGACUAUAACAGACUAUGACAAUCUAACAGAAGUUGAAACUUCUACUUCUCUCAUAAAUCUACACCUCACGAGACAAAUACUGCGGACUAGUGACGUGAAUAUGUUUAUUAGUUCAUAAAAAAAAACGCAUUAGAAUAGUAGGAUAACGAUUUUAUAUAGCGUUAUAUGGUAAUAUCGUUAUACAGGGUGACUCAGCUGGAUGGGAUCAUCUAAAUAUCUGCUUCACGUAUUGCUGCAUGAAAAAGCUUUUCAGGACGAAAUUAGGCUAUUUCAAGGGGCACGUGUAACGGUGAAAAGAAUUCUUCUUCAAGUUCAUUUCUUUUCUAGGAGACUUCAAGGUCAUCGGGCUUCUCAAAUUAUGGGCCAAGACCCCAUAUGAGGUUGCGUAACAGAAUUAUGGGGCCGUGGAUAUUUCUGCAACUGCCACAUACCAGUGAAAUGAAAAGAUAUCGACCAUCUUAAAUUAACCGACCAAAGAGUCAAGAAUUCACAAAGUUGUUUAAAGCUCCACCAUGCACGUGUUCCGCAACCGCUCGUGGCCAAGGUCACAACCUAUCGCCACUUCGCCUUUCUCGCGGCAUUGUUUACAGUUCGCCCGAUAUCUCUCAGGCCUUUCGUGCACGACUACAGUUGUAUCAAAUAUCCAGGCAAAAUUUGAUUCUUUACGCGAAAGUAAAUAAACAUGUUUAUCUCGGUAAUUUUAAUUUUGUCCUCAAAUUUUAAAAUUUAAUUUUGUCCUACUAAAUGCUAAUAAAUGGUACAAUUGUAAAUAUAACAAAGAAUUGUUUCAAAUUGAACUUCUUUGAUUUAUUAUCCAUUAAUGAUUUAUUUGCAUGUUUAUUUUAUAUACUUUUUUACGCAUACAAAUUGGCUUUGAGUAAAAUUUUUCGGGGCAACAUGGGUUGACGACUGGGAGAAAUUUAAACAAAACAAUAUAUAGAUAUAAACAAAUAUAUAAUAUAUAAACAAAAAUAAGAGGCGCAUAAACCAUUUUUACACUUCUUGCAUUCUGCAAGCAUGUUUCUUUAAACAAUUUGCGUUAUCGUUAAUAGAAAAUGAAGACUUCUUGGACGAUUGCGUUAGAUUCAAAAAUAUUUCCAUCCGAAUUUCAUCAAACGCAGAGUACGAAAGAUAAACACAGGAGUAUCUUGCCCUAUCUUUCAUACGCCAAGCUGUACAAAAUUAAAAUCAAAAUAUUUUUUGAAAAUCAAGCACCUUCAGACACAAGUACCUUAAUAUUUUCUUAUGGAAAAUUAAAAAAGGCGUAUCAAUUGCUGGAUAAAGAAAUAUAGUCAGUAAAAAAUACCGAUGACCACAAAAUCUCUUAACACGUUGACGCCGGCGAGACCCACCGGUGGGUCUCGCGUUCAUGUUCCGUGAGGCGGCGCGACCCGCCGGCGGGCCUCACGUGUCUGUUCCGACGGCGGCGGCGGGUCUCGCGUGUCUGUUUCGAGAGACGACGGUGGGCCUCGCGUGUAUUUCAUAAGAUACAAAUGAGAUCCACUGCCGCCCCACGAAACAGACAGUGAAUUCAGGCGCCGCCCCCACGAAACAGACAGUGAAUUCGGGCGCCGCCCCACGGAGAAAGCCAUGAAUAUCGGCGCCGGCGUCGACGUGUUAAAAAAAAAAUCUGGGGAAAAGUGCAACUUUUACACGUGACGCCUUAAGUAGCGUAACUUUGUACUGAGAGGCUCUUCCUACAACAAUAAAUAAAGCAAACAUUUAGGUGAUCCCAUUCAGCCGAGCCACCCUGUACGUAUAUUGUUAUAUAGUAAAUAAAGAAAAUAAAAAUCUAAAGAACAAAGGUGUGAUAUUUUUCUUUGUCCAACGGAUCACGUACGUGGAAAACGUAUCACGAGUCUAUAAAUUUACAUAUAAAUUCUUACGAUUAAGGUGUCAUUACAAGCUGACGAUAUAUAUAAAUCAAUGUUUAGAGAUUCCUCUAACAGAGCAACUAGUUUUAUUAACAGUCGUACAUCAGUUGCAAUAUACGUAAUCGACUGCAAUAAUGACCAAUGAUCGAAAUCAGUCUCGGCAAAUUAUCGCGUUCCUGUCCGAUAUGAGGUUUUAACGAAUGAAAAUUUAUUUCGUUUAGUUGAUAAAGAGAUUUGAUAAAAAUGUCUUCUUCCAUUCUCCUUAUUUUCUACCAUAUCGCAUUUCUUUAAUCUCCUUGUACCGUGUUAUUAUCUUUGUUAGUAGAAAUAAUGUCUACUGUAACGUGUAUUCAUGCUACAUUUAUAUUUACUAUUUUAAUUUUAUACAGCAUCUUUAUGCAUUUCUAUUUUAUAGCGCAGACAAAAAUUGUACAAGUUCGAUUAUCGUGGAAUUAGGCUGGAAAUUCUCCUUAGAAAUUUCGCGCCAACGAAGUAAAAACAGAAGAUUAAUAAUACACGUACAAUAGAAUACAGUGGAACGUCCAGUAGCCGAGGAUCUAUUAUCCGAAUAUUCUUCUGUCGAAACGUUCCAUCGCUUG